rnacentral:tRNA from 1 species
GGAGGUGAAGUUUAUCUGAUAAAUUUUCUGCUUACGUUAGAAAGAUCUUCGUGGAAGCACCUCUC